ensembl:lncRNA LINC00511 long intergenic non-protein coding RNA 511
UUUUUUCCAGGCCCAGAAGUGUAAGAUCCGGUGCCUAUCUUCAGGCGGGUGGCAAACAAACAUCACAUAAAGGAGAGUGUCUGGCUUGUGUCUUCUGGGUACGUGAUCCCCCUGACUUCAGUGUGAGAAUGUGGCCAGAGCGUCUGGGGAAGACAGGGAGAGUUGUCAGAGAGGAGUUUUGAGGAGGCCCUGAAGGCUCGCCGGCUGUUAAGGCCUGAGCUGUAGUGGGCAAGAAGAGAUGGCCAGUUCAGGUAGAGGAAGCCUGCUUUGAGCUGAAGACCGGAGGUGAAUCUGGACAGGGCUUCCCAGGACCACACACACUUCUUGACUGUCUCCCCUGUGCUAAGAUCUGGGUGCAGUGAAUAAGCUGAGAUGGAGGACACAGGAGGGGUUCUGGUGGAAUCAGAGGUUUCUGGCUGACUCGGUGGGUGCUUUGAACCAGGAAAGGACAAGAAAGAGGUGCCACCUCCUGAGUCCUGGUUCCUGCGGCUCCGUCGAAUCUGCAGUGAAGGCCUUUGGGAAGCGUGGGUUAUGUGGGUCCAGGGGUCCCAUCCUCCCGUGGAGGCCCUUGACCUGAGGAUCACUAACUCACACCCCACCGACUUCCGGCCCCCAACAAGGGCAGUGUUCCUCUUGCUCCAUUCUGCUCUGAAGUCCCCCAAACCGCUUCCUGGGGCUGCUUAGUGAAAUACAAGGCUCAUCUCUGAGGACCUCUACAGGGCUGGAUGGGAAGGACUGAUCCACAUUCCCACCAGGAAGUUUAGCAGAACCCCCGCGUGCCACCUGGACCCCUUGGAAGGACCUGGCUCAGGCUGGACCACCUCUUGAGAGGCAGGAGCUCUGGAUUUGAUCAAGAAUUCUUUGCUGAGCAUGGUGCCUCAUGCCUAUAAUCCCAACACUUUGGGAGGCCAGUGUGGGAGGAUCUCUUGAGCCCAGGAGUUCAAGACUAGCCUGGGCAACACAGAGAGACCCCAUCUCUAAAAUAAUAAUAAUAAUAAAAUAAAAAAUUAGCAGGGCAUGGUGGCAUGUGCCUGUAGUCCCAGCUACCCAGGAGGCUGAGGCAAGAGGAUGGCUGGAGCCUGGGAUGUUGAGGCUGCAAUGAACUGUGAUUACCCCACUGCACUCCAGCCUGGGCAAAAGAGCGAGAGACCCUGUCUCAAAUAAUAAUAAUAAUAAUAAUCUUAUUUUGGAGAAUAAAGAGACCUCUGGAUUUGAGGUGCCAUUUGGGUAGAAAGAAAAGACGUUUACACCGAGAAAUAGUCUGUGUUGCCCUGAAGGAGCAGAGGGAUGCAUCGCUGGAGGUGACCUACAGUUGAAGAAGACUCAUUAUGACAGACCUUGUCCUUCUUCCUUGUGGAAAGUGUUUCCUCUGCUGCUACUGCUCAUGAGACUCUUCCCCCUCCCUGUCCCAGGGAACCAAAGGGCUUUCUACCACACCCUUUCUUGCCCCCCGCCUCCCAUGUCUGCUGUGCCUUUGUACUCAGCAAUUCUUGUUUGCUCCAUUAUCUUCCAGCCGGAUACAGAGUGAAUAGUUAACCACACUUAGGUCAAAUAGGAUCUAAAUUUUUGUUCCUGCUCCGUGUAAAGAGGCCAGUGUUUGUGUGUUGCAAGCAGCCUUGGAAUAGUAACUCUUCUCAUUUGUUUGGGAUCUGGCCACCAAGUUCCAGAAUGAUACACGGAUCAGUGCAGAAGUUCAUCAGGCUCUCGGACCUUAGGGCUGUUGGAGAAGGCUUCAGCAGCAGAACUGAUGGUGAAGGCUCGUGUUCUCCAUCCUCAACUUUCUUUGCUUCGAUCAUACACAAGAAUACAUUUGGAAGGGCAAAAAAUGAACACUGUCGUUCAUUGCAGCCGUGUUUUGUGACACAGAUGCACAGUCUGCUGUGAAGACCUUCUCUCAAGUGGCAUUUGGGAGUCCAUGCCAGAUCAUGGUGCUUCAUGAGAGACUGACAGCUAUCAGGGGUUGUGGCACUUAGUGAGGACUCUCCUCCCCCAGUGUGUGCUGAUGACACAUACACACCUGACAAUAGCUUGAGUCUUCUCUGUUCCUUUUACUCUGUAGCCAACAUACACAUGAUUUAAAACCCUUUCUAAAUAUCUAUCAUGGUUCAUCCUUGUCCAAAUGCAGAGUCAGAGCUAUUUGUACUUCAUUAUUAUUUCCAAGGCGAAUAGUUGGCUUUCUUUUUGCAAAAAUAAUUAAAGUUUUUGUAUGUUGCA